rnacentral:rRNA from 1 species
GAUGAGCCUGCGGACCAUUAGCUAGUUGGCAGUGUAAUAGACUACCAAGGCUACGAUGGAUAGCCGGCCUGAGAGGGUGUACGGCCACACUGGGACUGAGACACGGCCCAGACUCCUACGGGAGGCAGCAGCUAAGAAUCUUCCGCAAUGGGCGAAAGCCUGACGGAGCGACGCCGCGUGGAUGAUGAAGGCCGAAAGGUUGUAAAAUCCUUUUCUUGGGGAAGAAUAACGAUUGGAGUGGAAUGCCAGUCGGAUGACAUUAACCAGGGAAUAAGCCCCGGCCAAUUACGUGCCAGCAGCCGCGGUAAUACGUAUGGGGCGAGCGUUGUUCGGAAUUAUUGGGCGUAAAGGGCGUGUAGGCGGUUUCGUAAGCUUGGCGUGAAAUACCUUGGCUUAACCAAGGGGACGCGCUGGGAACUGCGAGACUAGAGUUCAGGAGGGGAAGCUGGAAUUCCAGGUGUAGGGGUGAAAUCUGUAGAUAUCUGGAAGAACACCAAAGGCGAAGGCAAGCUUCUGGACAUGGACUGACGCUGAGGCGCGAAAGCGUGGGGAGCAAAUAGGAUUAGAU